rnacentral:rRNA from 1 species
UACGUAGGUGGCAAGCGUUGUCCGGAUUUACUGGGCGUAAAGAGCGCGCAGGCGGUCGUUCAAGUCGCGUGUGAAAGCCCCCGGCUCAACUGGGGAGGGUCACGCGAUACUGAUCGACUCGAAGGCAGGAGAGGGAAGUGGAAUUCCCGGUGUAGUGGUGAAAUGCGUAGAUAUCUGGAGGAAUACCGGUGGCGAAGGCGGCAUCCUGGACCGACAUUGACGCUGAGGAGCGAAAGCUAGGGGAGCAAACGGG